rnacentral:lncRNA from 1 species
UAUAGUAAAAUCUAAAAAUAUAAAAUAAAUAUUAGAGAAUAGUGUUAUAUACUACAACAGAAUUAUAUUAUAACGACACAUGUUUGGAACACUUUUGUAUAAGUGUCUCAUUUAUGUCGAAAUUUUUUAAAAAAUUUCACUAAGACCUAAAUAUAAAGCCCAAUCUAACAAAAAAUAAAUGAUUACUCUACUCAAUCCACUCCACCCAGCCCAUUCAACCAGAUUACAAAUAGAAAAGAAAAAAAAAAAAAACCAAUCAUCAUCUCCACUUCUCCCUUCACUCAAUCCAAUAAAAUUUUAAACGAAAAGCCCCUCGCUCUCCUCCCCCUUCGAGCAGCAGCCGACGAGGUAGGAUUCCGACGGUUGCUAAAUAUUUAAAUAAAUAUUGGUAAAUUAGCAGCAUUCCUUUUAGGGUGCGUUUGGUUCGUGCUAUCUUUUAAAGAUUCCUAGUAAUCUAAUGGGAAUAAAAAAAUAUGACGGUGUUUGGCUAACGCACUAAGUAAUCUAGUUGGUAAUAUUGGAUUCACUUGGGAAUAUGAUUCACCCCAAAGUAUUAAUCUCAUUCCCUUGAGGGAGGGUGGGUAUCAUCAUAUUAAUGGAUUGGGGUAAUCAUAAUAUGUCUAAUCUCUUUCUUUCUUCCUAUCCGCCGGCUAAUUGAUAUUAUUUUUCUUUACAUUCUAACCUUAUAUCUCUCUCUAAACUUAUUUUUCUCUCUAAAAUUCAACUUUUUUUUCUCUCUCUCUCUCUCUUUCUAAAAUUUCAACUCUCUCACUCCCUCUAAUUUCGACUAUAUUUUUCUUUUUAUUUUUUUAAUUAUGCUCUCUCUCUCUAACUUAUACUCUCUCUCCCUUUUUUCUAAAAAGAUGUUGAAAUUUUUGGUAACAUUAUCUAAAAUUAAUUAAUUAAAUAAAUUAAUUAAUUGUAUAUUUUUUGCAAUAUUAAAUAACAUGGCUAAUUAAUAUUACCAUACGAACCAAACACAGGAAUUUCACAUUCUUAGUAAUAGGAUGAAUAGGAAUAAGAUUCUCGGAUAUCUUUUAUUCCUAGUAAUCUUUCAUAAUGCGAACCAAACGCACCCUUAGGUUAUACCGACACUCUUAAACUGUCACUAUAUACUUAGCGACCUCACAUAUAGCAAUAAUUUUUAAAAGUGUCGAUAAUUUAACCAGCAGCACUUUUUUUGAUCUGUACCGAUAUUUAAAAGUAUCACUAUACAUCAUUUUUGUUACAAUGAUAUAACUCUUUUUGGGUUUUAGGUUCAGCGUUUCUCACUAGUAAAACAUGUUAUGUACUAAACUAGAUCGUACAAAGAAAUAAAAGCGAAAGUCACUAUAUAUAUAUAUAGCAUUUCUCACUAUUAAAACAUGUUACGUACUAAACUAGACGUACAAAGAAAUAAAAGCAAAAGUCACUAUAUAUAGAGUAGGGCUACUAUACUUUUAUGAGUACAGAGCUCUUCGUACUUAUAAGUUGUUUUCAAUGUUGGGGUUUUUGAAUUGACGAUUUAUAUCGUUAAAUAUGAUUUAGAGUAUUUGAAACUUCUAGAAAAUAAAUUUCGUAAUUUUUGAAAUCAUUAUAAAGUCCAUCAAGCAGAUAUAAAAUAAACAGUCAAAAUCGAACGACGUCCUAAAAAUGAAUGAUCGGAUCCUUCAAUUUAAGAUCGGGGUUAUUGAUGUUUAUCUAGAUAAUGAAUAGAAUUUUCUAUUAAAAAUUCAAGCUAUUCUGAUUCUUUUACACCGUUAAAUUAACGAGUAUUACAUACCGGCCGUUAAAAAUUGUCAAUUUUUAAAUCUUUUGAUCAUAAGGUAAAUGAUAUCAAAAAAUUAUAAAAUUUAAUUUUUAGAAAUUUUAACUGCUGUAUAUAACAUUUAACAAUAUGGGUCGUCGAUUCGGAAGCUCUAUUAUCGAAAAUGACUUAUGAGCAUGAAUACGAUCGUACUCAUAAGAGUACAGUAGCCGAACUAUAUAUAUAUAUAUAUAUAUAUAUAUAUGUUCAAUCCA